rnacentral:rRNA from 1 species
ACAGUGAAACCGCGAAUGGCUCAUUAAAUCAGUUAUGGUUUAUUAGAUCGUGCGUUCCAUGUGGAUACCUGUGGUAAUUCUAGAGCUAAUACAUGCAACAGGCCCUGACGUUAUGAAGGGGCGCUUUUAUUAGAUCAAAAUCAAUCAGACUUCAGUCUGUAAUUGUGAUGACUCUGGAUAACUUUGUGCCGACCGCAUGGCCUUGCGCCGGCGGCGUAUCUUUCAAAUGUCUGCCCUAUCAACUUUCGAUGGUACGUGAUAUGCCUACCAUGGUUGUAACGGGUAACGGAGAAUCAGGGUUCGAUUCCGGAGAGGGAGCCUGAGAAACGGCUACCACAUCCAAGGAAGGCAGCAGGCGCGCAAAUUACCCACUCCCGGCACGGGGAGGUAGUGACGAAAAAUAACAAUGCUGGGCUUCAAGUCCGGUAAUUGGAAUGAGUACACUUUAAAUCCUUUAACGAGGAUCCAGUGGGGGCAAGUCUGGUGCCAGCAGCCGGGGUAAUUCCAGCUCCACGAGCAUGUACGUAAGUUGUUGC